rnacentral:lncRNA from 1 species
UGCUGGGUGUGGGCGGCCAAGAGGUGCCACUUUGCUGCUCAGGUUCCUGAGCUGCCUCCCCGCUCAGAUUGAUGAGGAUGUAAUUCCUCCCCAUAAACAGAGCCAAGAUCACACGUUCCAGCUGCUUUUCUUACAAUAUCUGUGCACUGCAAAAUUCCUGGAGUAUCUGUCGUUACCCUCUAACUGUACCAUUGAGGGAGUGAGCAUGAGACAGAGCCAUGCUAGCAGUGGGAAUAGCAGCAGUGUGGUCUAGGAAGUACUGUACACCCACCAUGCCCAGACAAGGUCGUAGAGGUGAGGUGAACACAAAACCUUAAAAACUUAUAACUUGCAGAAUUGGCAUGGAGAUCAUGUCUCUGAAGCUUCUUCUCAGAAAGAGCGUUGAUGCACUGGCACAGGCUGCCCAGGCAGGUGGGGGGUCACCAUCCCUGGAGGUGUUGAAGAACCAUGGGGAUAUGGCACUGAGGGCCGUGGUCAGAGGGCAUGGCGGGGUGGGCUGGGGUUGGACUUGGGGAUCUUAGAGGUCUUUUCCAACCUUAAUGAUUCUGUAAUUCUAUGAACCCCAGACAGAGAUUGCUCCCACCCUCUGCAAAGCCAGUGAGUUCCCCUGAGGGACCAGCAGCCCUGGGGAAUGGAGAUUGUGUUGUACCAGGUGGAGGAGGAGAUUGCGCUCCCAAAGAGACGUGCAGUGCAAAAGGAAGGGCUGAUAAUGAACCUGAAGUUGUUGAACGAACAGAAUUGCAGCACCUGCGCCAAAGCCUGCAGUGGGCUUGCUGCUACCAUGGCCUUGCUCGUUGCUGGAGCCACGAUCAGCCAUCAUUUCUCCACGCAAAGGUGGACAUCUUGGAUGAAGAUUCUUCUUAAACCAAAAGCUGGAGACAACCAUUUGGGAAAAAAAUUCCAGGCAACGAGUCAGUUAACGUAGCGGUGAGUGUCUGCAGAAAGCUGGCCAGCUCUUUCCAUUAAGGAGCCAGUCUUUGGCUAGCUCUCCAAAGGAGGCUCGGUGACUGUGUACAUUAAAAAUGCUAUCACCAUUAUGGUCUGUUCACUAAAGGUACAAGAGCAUGACAAAUAUAUGUAAUUUGCAAAUUGGCCGGUCUUUUGCAAUAAUUUAGAGACACUAGUUAGAGGCAAUAGAAAUCUAACAAUUACUGAUGUUUAAGGUUUGCAUUGUUGCUCUGUGAAUAUUUCAUGCAUAAAUGAACUUCCCCUGGACCAACUGCUGUUUCUGAUGAGGCGCUCUGAGGCUUUAUUGCCAAAUACACAGCAGGGCUCCCCCAAUGAGCCACAUAACAGAUGAUGCAUCGUCUUCGCGGCUUAAAUAAUGCAGAGUAUCUGCAUUCUGUAGAGUGGUGGUACCGUUUAUUUACAUAUCAAUGGAGUGGCCA